rnacentral:rRNA from 1 species
GGUUAUAAGAUCCCUCAAAGAUGAUGAGGUUAAUAGGUUCGAGGUGGAAGCGUGGUGACACGUGGAGCUGACGAAUACUAAUCGAUCGAAGACUUAAUCAA